rnacentral:rRNA from 1 species
UACGAAGGGGGCUAGCGUUGCUCGGAAUCACUGGGCGUAAAGCGCACGUAGGCGGCUUUCUAAGUCAGGGGGUGAAAUCCUGGAGCUCAACUCCAGAACUGCCUUUGAUACUGGAGAGCUAGAGUCCGGAAGAGGUGAGUGGAACUGCGAGUGUAGAGGUGAAAUUCGUAGAUAUUCGCAAGAACACCAGUGGCGAAGGCGGCUCACUGGUCCGGUACUGACGCUGAGGUGCGAAAGCGUGGGGAGCAAACAGGG